AAGUAUGACGAGCGGCGGACGGGUGAGUAAUGCUUGGGAAUAUGCCUUAGGGUGGGGGACAACAGUUGGAAACGACUGCUAAUACCGCAUAACGUCUACGGACCAAAGGGGGCUUCGGCUCUCGCCCUUAGAUUAGCCCAAGUGGGAUUAGCUAGUUGGUGAGGUAAUGGCUCACCAAGGCGACGAUCCCUAGCUGGUUUGAGAGGAUGAUCAGCCACACUGGAACUGAGACACGGUCCAGACUCCUACGGGAGGCAGCAGUGGGGAAUAUUGCACAAUGGGCGCAAGCCUGAUGCAGCCAUGCCGCGUGUGUGAAGAAGGCCUUAGGGUUGUAAAGCACUUUCAGUAAGGAGGAAAGGUUAGUAGUUAAUACCUGCUAGCUGUGACGUUACUUACAGAAGAAGCACCGGCUAACUCCGUGCCAGCAGCCGCGGUAAUACGGAGGGUGCGAGCGUUAAUCGGAAUUACUGGGCGUAAAGCGUACGCAGGCGGUUUGUUAAGCGAGAUGUGAAAGCCCCCGGGCUCAACCUGGGAACUGCAUUUCGAACUGGCAAACUAGAGUAUGAUAGAGGGUGGUAGAAAUUUCAGGUGUUAGCGGUGAAAUGCGUAGAGAUCUGAAGGAAUACCGAUGGGCAAAGGCAGCCCCCUGGGUCAAA
rnacentral:rRNA from 1 species